rnacentral:lncRNA from 1 species
UCUUGUAGUAUCCAAGCUUAUGGUAGUACCGUAGGACCAAUUCUUGACCACACAUUUAUGACAUGUGGCGCAUCAAGAUGGUGACACGUGGCAAGACAUUCUAAAGCAAAAUCUGUAGAAGGGUAAAAUCGGAAUAUAUUUUUCGAAUAAAAAAAUAUUAUGUUUUCUCAAAAUAUUCAUAUUUUAGAUGCAUAAAGGUUCAAACUAAGAUGCAUACAGUUUCAUAUAAAAAUGC